CGGGGCGUAGCUCAGCCUGGUAGAGCGUACGCUUUGGGUGCGUAAAGUCGCGAGUUCGAAUCCCGCCGCCCCGACCA
rnacentral:tRNA from 1 species